rnacentral:tRNA from 1 species
AUUAUUUUGGCAGAUUAGUGCAAUAGAUUUAGAAUCUGUGUAAGUAAAUUUCUAUUUACAAAUAAUA